UUCUUCGUUCUAUAACGAAGCUGUCGACUCUCUCUUGGUACUUUCUCAGUCUUAGUGACUUUUUUUUAAAACACUUCCAUGAUGGAUUGAGGAAGCAAGGUCGUAAAGCAGUCAAACGUGCCUUCCAUUUCCUCGACAGAGGAUUCCAAUUCAUCAACUGAUAAUGAUAGAUUGGUAUCUGAGUAAAGUUUACCUUUAAAUGGGUAGCAGAAAUUAGCCAGGCCAGGAUAACUUGAAAGCAGCACCUUUGUAAGAAGCAUCAGUCUUCUUACAGUUGCUAUGGCUACAGAAAGAAGUCCAAUUAAAGUUCCAUGUGAAAAUGAAGACUUACCUGAAAAAGAAAAUGCACCAGAUUUUGAUGAGGACACUUUGCAAGGUGAGCUGUGUUGAGCUUCAGCUUCAGUUAUUGUUAGAACUUCUUCUAUUCCACCAUUUUCAAGAAUGUAAGCAGAUGUGGAGAAGGAUAUAAUUAUACACUGUAUUAAUACUUUAAAAGAUAUUUGGCCAGUUAUGACUCUCUUCUAUGAUUAUAAUAUGCUGUUCAUUUAGAGGAUCUAUG